rnacentral:rRNA from 1 species
UACAGAGGUCUCAAGCGUUGUUCGGAUUCAUUGGGCGUAAAGGGUGCGUAGGUGGCGCUGUAAGUCAGGUGUGAAAUUUCGGAGCUUAACUCCGAAACUGCAUUUGAUACUGCGGUGCUCGAGGACUGGAGAGGAGACUGGAAUUUACGGUGUAGCAGUGAAAUGCGUAGAGAUCGUAAGGAAGACCAGUGGCGAAGGCGGGUCUCUGGACAGUUCCUGACGCUGAGGAGCGAAAGCGAGGGGAGCGAACGGG